AAGCAAAGCUCUGAAGAAACCGGAGUUCUACGUAUCGUUAUUUGAGCCAUCCCGAAUGGUAACAAUACAUGGUGACGCCGACUGUUCGUUGCAGCCUAAACUGAAGAAUGGUCACCUGCUUCCCUCCGGAGAGAUGCCAAGGAAACUCAGGCUAAGUGGUAUUGCAUAGAAAUGUGGCCAUCCAGAGGAACUAUUUCUGAUCAAAAUGGAUAAAAGCUGUUAAAACCAUAAAGUCCAUGGACUUCUUCAGAAUAAAAGAACUCUAAAGAACUUCUGGUUGGACCAAAAUUAACAUGGCUGACAAAAAGGUCUGAUGAAAGAUAUUUCCUUUCAAGAAGAAUUUGAUGCUUCCAAGCCAAAGACCCCAGAAUAACCUACCAUAUCCUUAAUCAGAAUCCAACAGGGAAUAAUCCCUCUCUGGCCAAAAGCACAUAAAACUUCAUCCAUGGAACAAGACAAAGCAAAAAAAUAACUGAAGUGCUAAAAACAAUCAAGAGCGAGUGCAAGAAGCUCUUAUCUGCCAGCAGCUGAGCGUUCUGUGGGAUGCACAACAUUUAGAUUACUGCUCUGCUGGAUGUGGGUCAUGAGUGUGGCUCCAGCAGUAGGACAUCUCUGCAAAGAGACAUCUAAAAUGAUGUGUCUGAAGGUGGAAACAGUGUCCCAUGUUAAAUUGUUGAACAGCAUUCAGGUUAUUUCCUGAUGGCUGUCAUUUUUUGAAGAAGGAAUCUCUUCCUGUGGAUUUUGGUCAGAAGAACACCUUGCACUAAAUGCAGAAUUCAGCCAGAUCCCAACGUCUCCUACAAUACUGGAGGAAAAAGGUUGAAUGUACUUGAACCUACGUGCACCUGCAGAGUGGUCCAGCUGACAGAAGUUAAGGUAUUAGGC